rnacentral:tRNA from 1 species
UCCCUGGUAGCUCAGAUGGUAAAGCAUCUGCCUACAAUGCGGGAGACCCAGGUUCGAUCCCUGGGUCGGGAA